CCCCCAUCGUCUAGCGGCCUAGGACAUCGCCCUCUCACGGCGGUAACACCGGUUCAAAUCCGGUUGGGGGUACGAC
rnacentral:tRNA from 1 species